rnacentral:rRNA from 1 species
AUACGUAGGGGGCGAGCGUUGUCCGGAAUGAUUGGGCGUAAAGGGCGCGUAGGCGGCCCGGUAAGUCUGGAGUGAAAGUCCUGUUUUUAAGAUGGGAAUUGCUUUGGAUACUGGCGGGCUUGAGUGCAGGAGAGGAAAGUGGAAUUCCCAGUGUAGCGGUGAAAUGCGUAGAGAUGGGGAGGAACACCAGUGGCGAAGGCGACUUACUGGACUGUAACUGACGCUGAGGCGCGAAAGUGUGGGGAGCAAACAGGAUUAGAUACCCUGGUAGUCCACACUGUAAACGAUGAAUGCUAGGUGUAGGGGGUAUCGACCCCUUCUGUGCCGCAGUCAACACAAUAAGCAUUCCGCCUGGGGAGUACGGCCGCAAGGUUGAAACUCAAAUGAAUUGACGGGG